rnacentral:rRNA from 1 species
GACGAACCGUGCGAGCGUUAUUCGGAAUCACUGGGCUUAAAGGGCGCGUAGGCGGGCAGUCAAGUCAGGGGUGAAAUCCCACGGCUCAACCGUGGAAGGGCCUUUGAUACUGGCUGUCUCGAGGGAGGUAGGGGCGUGCGGAACUUCCGGUGGAGCGGUGAAAUGCGUAGAUAUCGGAAGGAACGCCGGUGGCGAAAGCGGCGCGCUGGACCUCUUCUGACGCUGAGGCGCGAAAGCCAGGGGAGCAAACGGG